rnacentral:tRNA from 1 species
UAGAUCUACCUAUCCUGCCUGAUUAGAUUAGAAAAAGCUUCUCGAUCUCAUUUAUAAAAUCUUUUGGAGAUUUGAAGAAA